rnacentral:lncRNA from 1 species
AUGCUGUUGGAUUGUAUCUUGAAUAUACUUUCAAAUAAUUCCAUGUAUUCUCUUUUUUGCACAUACAAAACCACCCAGCUAACAAGCCAAAAAAUUUCUCAUCGGUCCUUUGUUGGGCACAGCAAUCAAGUUUCAUGUGGCAGAGUUCUUUUGUUUGGGUCUCAGCAAAAUCCAUUUUCAGCAACUUGUGUGCACAUUCUUCAAAAUCUAAACUUGACUGAAUGGGAUGUGGUAAGUUGCUUGACCUGUCUGAUAAUGAUGGUAUCUAUGUGGCAAUGAGAAGGAUAACCUGCCAUAUAGUGCUCAUCACAAUGCCUCGGAACACAAUGUGUUUAGGAUACCAAUACUAUUAUUGCUUUCCAAAAACAAAUGUGGGGAGGAACAGAUUGAAGAAACUUGAGAACUUUGACUUCAAGAAUUUGGCUCUGCUGUCUUAAGUCUGUUCCCUGCCGUUGGAACCCCUUCCCCUACUAAGACUGCCUGCUUGGGCCUCAGUGGAAGAGGAUAUGCCUAGACCUGCUGGAACUAGAUGCCCCAAGGUGGGAUGGUACGCA